rnacentral:lncRNA from 1 species
GAAGGAGUUAUCAAGGCAUGGAUUUCAUCCACAGCUUCAUCGAUCCUCCUCUUCAUCAAGGCAUGGACUUCACUGUGUGGAGCCCAACACGGUGGGAUUCACCCAUAGGGGAUGCCUGGUCCAUGGAUGCACAGUUAUGGCAGGUCAGUGGGUAUCACCCUUAAGUCUUGACUGUGUGGUUACGGCCUUAGGGGCCGGCAGCUCAAUUGAAGGUUUUCAAUCUUGACACCUUGAGGCACGGCAUAUCUUAUUUCUUGAUCCCUUCCCUCUCUCUCCCUC